UCGAUUGUAAUGAGGUGGAGCUGGAGGGUGCGAUCUGGUUGGGGCAUGGUAAUUUCAUUAACCUGAUUGCUUAAUUGUUGCAGCCAGCACGCGUAUAUAGGACCCGGUUGUGGUUGCGUGUGUGUGACUGAUUUGCAAGCGUGACGUGACUCUCCGUGCGCUAGUAUCUCCUUUUCCGGAAGUUGUGGCUAUAUCCAACGCUGCAGGUAGGGCAUCAGUGGACGGGGUCGUUUGCUUGCUGUAUGGGUGGUUGUAAUGUGCUUUUGGUAUCUUUCUUACAGUUGCAAGGGCUUAGUAAAUCUAGCAGCUUGCGGUUGCUUCCGCUUUUAAGGCUUUCCAACUUUUACCGCGUGUAAUCUGCCAGUGGAUCGCGACUUGGAGUGUCCCGGACCGACGUGAGCCAGACCAUCAACGGGAUACUAAGUCACUACAAGUGCUGCUGUUUUGCCGGAUGUUUUAUGUUUUGUUUCAUGUUUUAAUGGGUUUUAAGUAUUAAGGUUUUAUUGAUUGGAUGUACAUUGGGGGGGUGUCGUUGGGAAGGCUUGGUGCUGGUGGGUGAGGAUCCGUGUCGGGCGAUACCGCGCUGCGUGGUCGCGUUGCUUUCUUGUAGCCCACCCCUUGGGUGGAUGUACGUGCGUCAUGUACUGCGGGACCCCUUAGAGUGUUGUCUGACUGUAUGCCUCCCAUUCCCCUCCCGAUAACAGCUGCCUGGUUUGUGUUCUCUUUUGUCGUGUGAUUAGAGUUUUAAACAUGAUUUGAUGUGUAUUAUUUGUGCUGUGAUUUUGGUUUUGUAAUUUGCUGUUUGGUUUCUUUGUGUUUUUAUUUUGAGUGUGAAUAGCCAGCAGCCUAAUAAAGGGAGUGUUUAUGGUC